UUUAUUGUGCCCUUUCUCAUUGAGAACUGAAUUGAGAACCGAAAGGAUGUUUGGGGUCUUGUGGACAUGGGGCUUGAGUUCAGGGCCUGGGCACUGUCCCUGAGCUUUUUUGCUGCAUAGCAUUCCACCCUGAGGCUGGGGAUCAUGAGUUUGGGGCUAGCCUAGGCUACGUGUGGAGCUCUGGUCUUAGAAAAAUAAAAAUCCACAUGGCCUGUAAUAAAAAUUCAAACUCUAGUACUCCCCCGACCCCCGCCUUUGGACGUGAAGCACCACACCAAGUGGGAGCCUCCGUAUGUGAGCGCAUUUUACGCUGAAAAUGAUCUUUGAGAUCCUUUUGCUCUGUGCUUGGAAAGAAGCGAAAGUAAACUUGCAGAGACCUGCUACUAUGAGACCACAGACUGACCACUGUCUGUCCAGAAACACACAUGCCUGAGUUAAAGCUUCCCACACAGUUACAAAGGGACCCAGGGCAGCCCUUCUGCAAUCACUCAGGAAGGGAUUUCAGGGAAAUUGCAAAAUUCCUCGGCAGUUGAAUCAUCCCCAUAUCUUCUAGGAGCAAACACACUGGAGCAGG